rnacentral:rRNA from 1 species
AGAGUUUGAUCCUGGCUCAGGACGAACGCUGGCGGCGCGCCUAACACAUGCAAGUCGAACGAGCGAGAGAGAGCUUGCUUUCUCAAGCGAGUGGCGAACGGGUGAGUAACGCGUGAGGAACCUGCCUCAAAGAGGGGGACAACAGUUGGAAACGACUGCUAAUACCGCAUAAGCCCACGACCCGGCAUCGGGUAGAGGGAAAAGGAGCAAUCCGCUUUGAGAUGGCCUCGCGUCCGAUUAGCUAGUUGGUGAGGUAAUGGCCCACCAAGGCGACGAUCGGUAGCCGGACUGAGAGGUUGAACGGCCACAUUGGGACUGAGACACGGCCCAGACUCCUACGGGAGGCAGCAGUGGGGAAUAUUGCACAAUGGGGGAAACCCUGAUGCAGCGACGCCGCGUGGAGGAAGAAGGUCUUCGGAUUGUAAACUCCUGUUGUUGAGGAAGAUAAUGACGGUACUCAACAAGGAAGUGACGGCUAACUACGUGCCAGCAGCCGCGGUAAAACGUAGGUCACAAGCGUUGUCCGGAAUUACUGGGUGUAAAGGGAGCGCAGGCGGGAAGACAAGUUGGAAGUGAAAUCCAUGGGCUCAACCCAUGAACUGCUUUCAAAACUGUUUUUCUUGAGUAGUGCAGAGGUAGGCGGAAUUCCCGGUGUAGCGGUGGAAUGCGUAGAUAUCGGGAGGAACACCAGUGGCGAAGGCGGCCUACUGGGCACCAACUGACGCUGAGGCUCGAAAGUGUGGGUAGCAAACAGGAUUAGAUACCCUGGUAGUCCACACUGUAAACGAUGAUUACUAGGUGUUGGAGGAUUGACCCCUUCAGUGCCGCAGUUAACACAAUAAGUAAUCCACCUGGGGAGUACGACCGCAAGGUUGAAACUCAAAGGAAUUGACGGGGGCCCGCACAAGCAGUGGAGUAUGUGGUUUAAUUCGACGCAACGCGAAGAACCUUACCAAGUCUUGACAUCCUGCGACGGUGCUGGAAACAGUACUUUCCUUCGGGACGCAGAGACAGGUGGUGCAUGGUUGUCGUCAGCUCGUGUCGUGAGAUGUUGGGUUAAGU